AUACGUAGGGUGCGAGCGUUGUCCGGAAUUACUGGGCGUAAAGAGCUCGUAGGUGGUUUGUCGCGUCGUCUGUGAAAUUCCGGGGCUUAACUCCGGGCGUGCAGGCGAUACGGGCAUAACUUGAGUACUGUAGGGGAGACUGGAAUUCCUGGUGUAGCGGUGAAAUGCGCAGAUAUCAGGAGGAACACCGGUGGCGAAGGCGGGUCUCUGGGCAGUAACUGACGCUGAGAAGCGAAAGCAUGGGUAGCGACCAGGAUUAGAUACCCUGGUAGUCCAUGCCGUAAACGGUUGGCGCUAGGUGUAGGGGUCUUCCACGACUUCUGUGCCGUAGCUAACGCAUUAAGCGCCCCGCCUGGGGAGUACGGCCGCAAGGCUAAAACUCAAAGGAAUUGACGGGG
rnacentral:rRNA from 1 species